GACGAACGCUGGCGGCGUGCUUAACACAUGCAAGUCAAACGAAGUGGCGAACGGGGGAGUAACGCGUAAUCAACCUGCCCUUCAGAGGUGGACAACAGUUGGAAACGACUGCUAAUACCGCAUACUGAAGGGGGGGUUUUGUUCUGAUUACCUAGUUGGGGGGGUAACGGCCCCCCAAGGCGAUGCUAAGUAGCCGGUCUGAGAGGAUGAACGGCCACAUUGGGACUGAGACACGGCCCAGAAUCCUACGGGAGGCAGCAGUGGGGAAGCUUCCGCAAUGGACGAAAGUCUGACGGAGCAACGCCGCGUGAGUGAUGACGGCCUUCGGGUUGUAAAGCUCUGUUAAUCGGGACGCGGUACCGGAAUAGAAAGCCACGGCUAACUACGUGCCAGCAGCCGCGGUAAUUC
rnacentral:rRNA from 1 species